rnacentral:rRNA from 1 species
CUACGGGGGGCACCAGUGAGGAAUUUUCCGCAAUGGGCGAAAGCCUGACGGAGCGACGCCGUGUGUGGGAUGAAAUCCUUCGGGAUUUAAACCACUGUCAGAGGGGAAGAUAUUGACGGUACCCUCAGAGGAAGCCCCGGCUAACUACGUGCCAGCAGCCGCGGUAAUACGUAGGGGGCGAGCGUUGUCCGGAAUCAUUGGGCGUAAAGGGCGCGUAGGCGGUUUGGUAAGUCAGAUGUUAAAUUUACAGGCUCAACCUGUACCCGCAUCUGAUACUGCUGAACUAGAGAAUGGUAGAGGAAAGCGGAACUUACGGUGUAGCGGUGAAAUGCGUAGAUAUCGUAAGGAACACCAGUGGCGAAGGCGGCUUUCUGGGCCAUUUCUGACGCUGAGGCGCGAAAGCUAGGGGAGCAAACGGGAUUAGAUACCCCAGUAGUC